rnacentral:misc_RNA from 1 species
ACGGAUAGUUAGAUAUUGGCGCCAACGGAUAAUAUAAUAAACUUGAAAAAUACUAUUUCGAAAAAUUUAUUAAAUAUAAGGUCUAUUAUAUCUUAAUUUUGUUGAUUACGUUUAUAAUUUAUGUGUAAAAUCAAAUAACUUUGUUGAAUCGCACGAAAUUAAAUUGUAUGAAUCCACGUGUUGUGAAAAUCUAAUGACAGACAAUGUCUACACCAGCAAAAAUAAAAAAAUUAGAUGAGGUUGUGGUGAAUAGAAUCGCAGCUGGAGAAGUGAUCCAAAGGCCAGCAAAUGCGUUGAAAGAACUAAUAGAAAACAGUCUGGAUGCCAAAGCCACGAAUAUACAAAUUACUGUAAAAGAAGGAGGUUUAAAAUUAUUACAGAUACAAGACAAUGGCACUGGUAUCCGAAAAGAGGACAUGGAGAUUGUGUGUGAAAGAUUUACAACUAGCAAACUGCAAAAAUUUGAAGAUCUUAAUGCAUUGACAACAUUUGGAUUCCGAGGAGAAGCUCUGGCUAGUAUCAGUCAUGUAGCUCUUCUUAGUAUUACUACAAAGACAGCAGAUGAAAAGUGUGCUUACAAAGCAUCAUAUCUUAACAGCAAACUAAAAGCACCUCCAGUACCAUGUGCUGGAAAUCAAGGCACUAUAAUAACAAUAGAAAAUUUAUUUUAUAAUGUACCAACUCGAAGGAAAGCUUUGUCAAGUUCGUCAGAAGAAUUCACUAAAAUUACAGAAGUAGUUAUGAGAUACGCUGUACAUAAUCAAGCAGUAGGGUUUACAUUAAAAAAACAUGGUGAACCAAGUCCACAGGUUCGAACACCACAUAAUUCAACAAAACAGAAUAACAUAAGAAUAUUGUAUGGAAAUCCAGUUGCUCGUGAAUUGUUAGAAGUUGAGCUCAACGAUAAGAGUUAUAAAUUUCAAAUGCACGCUUUAGUAACAAAUCCAAACUAUACAAACAAACGGAUGUUGAUGCUUUUAUUUAUUAACAAUCGUCUGGUCGAUUCCUCUUCUAUUCGUAAAAUGUUAGAGGAUUUAUAUACCGUCUACCUGCCAAAGAAAGCUCAUCCCUGGUGCUAUAUAUCACUAGACAUCAAUCCACAAAACAUUGAUGUCAAUGUACAUCCAACGAAACACGAAGUUCGAUUUCUUCAUGAAGAUGCAAUAAUCGAAAAAAUCAAAUUUGCUUUAGAUGAAAGACUAACUGGUAGCAGUGCAUCCAGAACAUUUUAUUUGCAAGCUAGAUUACCAAAAGCAGAUAUCACUAAAGACAUUCUAGAAGAGGUAUUGCCGGAACAUAAAAAAGGGAAUCCAGACAAAUCGAAAAAGAUUCACGCCAGAGAAAUGAUUAGAACAGAUUCAUCGGAUCAGAAGCUAGACAAAUUUAAUUUCACUAUACAUUCUGCCUUCAAACAUGGUAAAAGCAAUCAUAAUUUUCCUGUGGAAAAAUCUACAGAUAAUUUAGAACCUCCACCUCUUAAUUCUGAAGUUCUACCGGAAAUUGAUACAUGUGUUGUUAUCACGGAAGAUUCAAUUGCCGAUGAUAAACGUCAAGAAAAAAAAAAUGAGACAAAUCCAAAUUUAGCUAUUACAGAACAGAAUUUUACAUCAGAUAAUGAAGAGAUUCCAAUUGAUCAUGUUGCAACAAAUUGGUGUGACAUAAUAAAUAAUAUAACUCAAUCAGAAACGGAAAAUACCUGCAACUCGUCUACCAUUGUACAAAAUGAUAAGUCGAAGAAUAAUUGUCCGGAAAAUGUUAUGGAUAUUUCGGACAUUCUAUCUGAUUUAGAUGAAACAAUGAAUAAUUCUGCAGAAGAUAGAUCUAUAGACACUGUAGCUGAUAAGGCUCGUAAACAAGUAUAUCAAUAUUUUGGAAAUAUAGAUAUCAAUAAUAAAAAUAAAAACUCAGAAGAACAACAACAAAAAGUUAUAAAAGAUACAGAUAAUAUUAAGAAAGAAGGUGAAAGUUCAGAAUUUAUCAUAAACCAAAAUGCAUCUCUAACUGAGAGAAAUACUUGCUCUGAUGAAUCUGAAAAAUUAUUUAAGUCAUAUUCUGUAAAUAGUUUUAGACACGAAGUAAAAUUAACUAGCAUCUUACAAUUAAGAAAAGAAAUUGAAGAUGAAUGUCACGAAGGACUGAAAGAAAUCUUGUCUAAUUUAACUUUUGUUGGAUGUAUCGAUCAAACUUCAGCCUUAAUACAGAGUGGAGUAAAUUUGUAUAUUUGCAAUACCAGAAAAUUAGCGGAAGAACUGUUCUACGAAAUUAUGCUUUAUGACUUUGCGAAUUUUGGCAUCUUGAAAUUUUCAAUUCGGGAGACACUGGAUGGACAGAGGAAGAUGGGCCGAAAGAAGAAUUAGCAGCGAGAGUAAAAGAAUUACUUUUAGAAAAAGCAGAUAUGAUGAAUGAAUACUUUUCGAUUGUUAUCGAUAAAGUUGGAAACUUAAGAUCGUUGCCUGUAUUAUUAGACAAAUAUUUUCCAUAUGAAGCAGAAAUUCCAUUGUAUAUGAUGCGAUUGGCAACGGAAGUUAAUUGGAAAAAAGAACAAUCAUGUUUCCAGAAUAUUUGUAGAGAAACAGCAAAAUUUUACAGUUACAUCAAUCCGAAGCACG